UCGAACCUAAUCACGCUUACACCUUUAAGGAAGUCACACAAUUCUAUCAAUCCGGCCACUCCGUCUAUCCCAAUCCCUGUAAGGGCCUCACGAAGGCGGAGGAGCGAAUCCUCCUUCGCCUUUAUACCCAAACUUUCUUGUGCCCGGCAAUAUUAAAACACUUCGUACCCGCUUGCACGGGGAAGUGCCCGCACUGUGAGGAAAAUUCUUCUGACAUUUUCCACAUGGUGUGGGCGUGCCAAAAA
rnacentral:lncRNA from 1 species